CUUUGCCAACCACUGCUGAAUAACCAGCACCAGAUGGUACCUUGACAGUCUCUGAGCAGAGAGCAAGAGGCCUGCCAGAGUUCAGUUUCCCGAGUUAUGGAAGCAGCACUCUCUCUCUGAGAAGGGUUCUCAGAGGUUAUUUAUACUGCCGGCGACCAGAUGGCUUUGAACUUUUGGAGAAGCUCUGGGAGAGGGAUGUUUGGAAUCAAGGGCAGAUUUGAAACCAUAUGUGGCUCUGUUUAAGUCCAGAAAAGUUCAAAUUUAUGAAAAUGAAAGACAAAAAAUGAAUCAUCUGUUGAUUAAUAAGGAAGAAAGAGACAGUAUCUGCUUGCAUCAUCUGUAUCCAAUAACUCUGCUGGAAUUUGUCUUCAUCAUCAACUAGUAUGAAGCUCAACCUUUGCUGUGAUCAUAAAUUUGGAGGUUAAUGAAGACUGCAGGCACUAGGAAGAUGGAGAGGUAUUGGAAAGAAGAAGUAAAAUAAUUUUAUGAUUUGAAAUCAAAUGUCCAGUUUCUUUUGAUUCAGGGGC
ensembl:lncRNA